UACGAAGGGUGCAAGCGUUACUCGGAAUUACUGGGCGUAAAGCGUGCGUAGGCGGUUUGUUAAGUCUGUCGUGAAAUCCCCGGGCUCAACCUGGGAAUUGCGAUGGAAACUGGCGAGCUAGAGUACGGUAGAGGAGAGUGGAAUUCCCGGUGUAGCAGUGAAAUGCGUAGAGAUCGGGAGGAACAUCAGUUGCGAAGGCAGCCCCCUGGGCUAACACUGACGCUCAGGCACGAAAGCGUGGGGAGCAAACAGG
rnacentral:rRNA from 1 species